AGCAUGCCGUUCCUAGGCUUAUUUGUUGGACAUUUGUUUAUCUUUCUGUGCAGAAGUGUCGUUAGAUAUCGUAGAGCUCAACAGCUAAAACUGGGAAAAGAUUUCACAAUUGCAUGUAUCUGGACAAUAUUAAGCAAACACACAUGCCUGGGCUGAUGCCGCUUAAAUCGCACGACGCUGGAGACAUUGAUUUUUGUACCAAUUUUCUUUUUACUUGUAGUGUUUCCGAAUUAUCGAUAGCCGCCGAGAAAAUUAAACCUCGGCAUAUGAACGAUUACGAAUUUAUUCCGUAUGACGUAUUUCGUGAAACGACAUAAAGAAUUCACAGUAAAGGCUAACGUGGUUCCUGCACCUACUACAGCGUCAAAUCAUUCGAGCAAAACCCAGUAAACGCCCUGCCUAAGAAAAGAACUUCUAAAUCAUACAACAGUCCUCCGUUAGUUCAACGUACGGUGUCCAUCGAAUCGUUCAAAAAGCGACAAGCUAUAUCGCUUAAACAUAGCACAUCGUCGGUGAAGAAUUGGUUCGAUGUGUUGCAAUCGACAGUUUUCGGCAUAUGCCGCUGAGAGAGUGGUGGCGACAAGAAAACCAAAGGGAUGCUGUCAAAGUUAAAUCCGAGCGGAUCUGCACCGAUUUACUGCUUUGAAUCUAAUAGGCUCCUAUAAUGUCAGUACCAGCCCCACCUUAGCUUCCACCACUACUCUGUCAGCGACCAUAGAUUGUAUUGUGAGCUUGGCACAACGAUCAAGCGCCAGCAUUUCAGUGCAUAACGGUUGGGCAUUCGUGGAAGGAAUAGUAGCCCGUUCAACUACUCUGGUUAACGCGCUUGAAUCAUACUGGCCGACGAAAACAUAAGCAAAGAACAUGCUCAAUGAAGGCCUGCUGAAUAAACAGAAAUUGCAAUUAAUUAUUUACGCACCGGAGAGAUAGUGCUACAAUUCUACGGACACUGAUAAUCUUUAGUAGACAAGGAUCGGAAAUACGUCUGGUUUUUGAGACCGGUGUAUUAGCCUCUGUUCCAAUUAACCCGGAAUAAAAUAGGAGGAGUGAAUAUGCUGUUUAGAUAAGCUUG